UACGGAGGAUCCAAGCGUUAUCCGGAAUCAUUGGGUUUAAAGGGUCCGUAGGCGGGACAAUAAGUCAGUGGUGAAAGUCUGCAGCUCAACUGUAGAAUUGCCAUUGAUACUGUUGUCCUUGAGUAAUUAUGAAGUGGUUAGAAUAUGUAGUGUAGCGGUGAAAUGCAUAGAUAUUACAUAGAAUACCGAUUGCGAAGGCAGAUCACUAAUAAUUCACUGACGCUGAGGGACGAAAGCGUAGGUAGCGAACAGG
rnacentral:rRNA from 1 species